rnacentral:lncRNA from 1 species
ACCGCAACGUCGCACACCCGUACGGCCGGCCCCCCCCCCGACCCCGUCCUCUCCCCCAACCACCGGGGCCCCUACCCGUGCCCGCGUUCCCAGGCGCCCACCCCCACCCCCCGCCUGCCACCACCACCACCACCACCACCGAGGGCAGAGAGAGGGCUCCGACGGGAAGCGUGGCGCCAAUCGGGUAGGGGACACGACAGAGGCAUAUUCAAGAUCUUCUUAUCCUCUUCUUUCCCUUGAAAAUGCAACUCUGCUGCUGAUAGAUUGCCCUUGCUCCAAAUAUUCAAAAAAUUCAGGGUUGUCAUCUUGCUGUCUCUGGAUGGGAAAUAAUUGUGGAGGAUCGAUAAACCCACCAGGGGGAGCAGACAAGUCAUCAUCAUGAAGCAUAGACAAAGGAAAGGAGAACCGACAAUGUUCCCUGCCCACAUCGGGCUGAUCAACCGCAGUGGGGAAAAGAGAAGCAUAAGGAGGAGCAGAAGGUGCAGAUUUCCUCUCUUCCCUACGGGAUUUCCACCAUUCCUGGAAUAGAUGGGUCAUUUCUUUAAUCCCUUUGCCCUCCUCUGAUGAAACCGAAGAAGCCUCCGAAUCUGAUUCCGAACUAACAGAUGUUUCACCAUUUCCAGAAGGAGGCUUACUUGUAUCCUUACCUUCAGGCAAUGCAGAUCCCCACCAACGUUUGGCACAUCCUCAUAAAUUGCCUCUCCCUUCAUUGAAGCAUUAGAUUUAGUUUCAUUAUCAGUAGACAGCAAAGUCAAAGCCUGUGUUAUAGCAUUACAUAAAGUCCAUAACUUCAAAGGGAUCACAUUACCCUUCUGAUGUUGCUUUCUCAAUUCUUUUUGAAUUAUUUUCCAUUCCUUCAAAUUUAACUGUAACUUAGUUUGAUAUUGAAACCAAUGACAAUAUUGCUCCACCAAGCAAAGAGCUCACUCAAUCGACAAGUCGAGACCUUAACGCCUAUGAAGUGGAGAAGUCCUUUAACAAACUCCAUGUAUUGUGUCCAUAAUGAUGAUGAGGAAUUCCCCAUGAUUUUCUGAAAGUUCCCCUGCUAGGGUGAGGAAUUCCCCAUGAUUUUCCCGAAAGUUCCCCUGCUAUGGAUUUAAAAUCCCCCUGGGGUUACUCACCCUUUCGUUUCAUUCGAGCCCCAUGUUGGGUGCCAGAUGUUGGAGACUGCAAGUGAAAUGACACAAAGACAAGACACACAAGAGACAGACACAACUCUGGCCGGAGGAAAAAGAACUGCGUAAGCAAGCUAGCUUGCUGUUUACUUUUAUAUAGCCCCCCUGGGCAGAAUUCCAGACUGUAUGACUAAGCCUUCUCAGUAUAGCGUAUUUGCAUAAAUGUUAUCGUACAGCAAAAGGGAGUGAAAUUCCUGCUUACUGCGAGUCUGUCCAGAGUCCUUUCUUCCUCCUUAUCACAGGAAGGGAAUCAUAAGGAAGGGAAUGUUCCCUCGUUUGCAAGGGACCAUUAAACUCAAGGCUGUGUCCAGUCUCCUUGGCAGAACACCUCGUUUGCAAGCACGUUCAGCCCGAGCAGAGAGACCCGUUUGCAGGCACAUCUCCGUUACCCUAUUGUGCAUUAACCCUUCACUUUGGCAUUGUCAAUAAAGCAGAAAUAGAUGUUUUUCUGGAACUCUCUUGCUUUUUCAAUGAUGCAGCGAAUGUUGG